rnacentral:ncRNA from 1 species
UGAUUUCUUCGGGGCAGGGUGCAAUUCCCGACCGACGGUAACAACGAAAGUUGAAGUCCGUGACCCGCUUCAUAGCGGUUGACCCAGUGUGAGUCUGGGACCGACAGUAAAGUCUGGAUGGGAGAAGAAAAAG